rnacentral:rRNA from 1 species
CCUACGGGUGGCAGCAGUGAGGAAUAUUGGUCAAUGGACGCAAGUCUGAACCAGCCACGCCGCGUGCAGGAAGACGGUUCUAUGAGUUGAAAACUGCUUUUGUACGGAGGAAAACGCAGAUACGUGUAUCUGUCUGCACGUACUGUACCAAUAACGAGCGGCUAACUCAGUUACAGCAGCCGCGGUAAUACGGAGGAUUCAAGCGUUAUCCGGAUUUAUUGGGUGGAAAGGGUGCGUAGGCGGUCGGAUAAGUUAGAGGUGAAAUCCCGAGGCUCAACUUCGGAAUUGCCUCUGAUAGUGUGCGCCUAGAGGGUAGUUGAGGUAAGGGGAAUGCAUGGUGUAGCGGUGAAAUGCGUAGAGAUCAUGCAGAACACCAGUGGCGAAGGCAGCUUUCCGGGCU